rnacentral:rRNA from 1 species
GACGAACGCUGGCGGCGUGCCUAAUACAUGCAAGUAGAACGCUGAAGCGAGGAGCUUACUCUUCUUGGAUGAGCUGCGAACGGGUGAGUAACGCGUAGGUAACCUGCCUUGUAGCGGGGGAUAACUACUGGAAACGAUAGCUAAUACCGCAUAACAUUUGAUGACACAUGUCAUUUAUUUGAAAGGGGCAAUUGCUCUACUACAUGAUGGACCUGCGUUGUAUUAGCUAGUAGGUGAGGUAAUGGCCUACCUAGGCGACGAUAGAUAGCCGACCUGAGCGGGUGGUCGGCCAAACUGGGACUGGGACACGGGCCAGGAUCCUUACGGAAGGAACAAGAGGGAAACUUCGGCAAUGGGGGCAACCCUGGACGGGGAACGGCGCGUGAGUGGAGGAAGGUUUCGGAUCGUAAAGCUCUGUUGUUAAUCGAAGACGAAUGUGAGAGUGAAAAGUUCACGCUGUGACGGUAGCUUACCAGAAAGGGACGGCUAACUACGUG